rnacentral:rRNA from 1 species
AAAUGACGGUACCUGACUAAGAAGCCCCGGCUAACUACGUGCCAGCAGCCGCGGUAAUACGUAGGGGGCAAGCGUUAUCCGGAAUUACUGGGUGUAAAGGGUGCGUAGGUGGUAUGGCAAGUCAGAAGUGAAAACCCAGGGCUUAACUCUGGGACUGCUUUUGAAACUGUCAGACUGGAGUGCAGGAGAGGUAAGCGGAAUUCCUAGUGUAGCGGUGAAAUGCGUAGAUAUUAGGAGGAACAUCAGUGGCGAAGGCGGCUUACUGGACUGAAACUGACACUGAGGCACGAAAGCGUGGGGA